ACACAUGCAGUCGAGGGGUAACAGAUCUUCGGAUGCUGACGACCGGCGAACGGGUGAGUAACACGUAUGCAACUUACCCAUAACUCGGGAAUAGCCCAAAGAAAUUUGGAUUAAUACCCAAUAAUACAGGCGUACCGCAUGGUAUUCUUCGUUAAAGAAUAAUCGGUUAUGGAUAGGCAUGCGUUCUAUUAGGUAGUUGGUGAGGUAACGGCUCACCAAGCCGACGAUGGAUAGGGGAACUGAGAGGUUGUCCCCCCACACUGGUACUGAGACACGGACCAGACUCCUACGGGAGGCAGCAGUGAGGAAUAUUGGUCAAUGGACGAAAGUCUGAACCAGCCAAAUCGCGUGAAGGAAGAAGGUAUUAUGUAUCGUAAACUUCUUUUGUAAGAGAGUAAAGUGCACUACGUGUAGUGUAUUGCAAGUACCUUACGAAUAAGCAUCGGCUAAUUCCGUGCCAGCAGCCGCGGUAAUACGGAAGAUGCAAGUGUUAUCCGGAUUUAUUGGGUUUAAAGGGUGCGUAGGUGGUCUAAUAAGUCAGUGGUGAAAUCUCUUUGCUUAACAAGGAAAUUGCCAUUGAAACUGUUAGACUUGAGAAUGGACGAGGUAGGCGGAAUUCGUAGUGUAGCGGUGAAAUGCAUAGAUAUUACGAAGAACUCCAAUAGUGUAGACUGCUUACCAGACCAUAUCUGACACUAAGGCACGAAAGUGUGGGUAUCAAACAGGAUUAGAUACCCUGGUAGUCCACACAGUAAACGAUGAAUACUAACUGUUUGCGAUAUACAGCAAGUGGUCGAGCGAAAGCGUUAAGUAUUCCACCUGGGAAGUAUGCCGGCACGGUGAAACUCAAGGAAUUGACGGGGGCCCGCACAAGCGGAGGAACAUGUGGUUUAUUCGAUAUACGCGAGGAACCUUACCCGGGCUCGACGAUAUUUGAU
rnacentral:rRNA from 1 species